rfam:Dipodomys ordii contig_20312, whole genome shotgun sequence.
GGGAAUGUGGCUUAGUGGUAGAGUGCUUGCCUAGCAUGCAUGAAGCCUUGGGCUCAAUUCCUCAGUACCA